rnacentral:rRNA from 1 species
GACGAACGCUGGCGGCGUGCCUAGCACAUGCAAGUCGAACGGAAAGGCCCUGCUUUGGUGGGGUGCUCGAGUGGCGAACGGGUGAGUAACACGUGAGUAACCUGCCUUUGACUGUGGGAUAACUUCAGGAAACUGGGGCUAAUACCGGAUAGGAGCUCCUGCUGCAUGGUGGGGGUGGGAAAGUUUCGGCGGUUGGGGGUGGACUCGCGGCUUGUCAGCUUGUUGGUGGGGUAGUGGCUUACCAAGGCUUUGACGGGUGGCCGGCCUGCGGGGGUUGCCGGCCACGUUAGAACUGAGCUACGGCCCAGCCUCCUACGCGACGCAGCAGAGGAGAAUAUUACACAAUGGGCGGAAGCCUACUGCAACAACGCCGCGUGGGGUAUGACGGCCAGCGGUUUGUAUUCCGCAUUCGCCUGUGACGAGACGAGAAUGACGGUAAUGGGUAAAGAAGCACCGGCUAACUACGUG